rnacentral:lncRNA from 1 species
UAAGUAUAUGUAUUAAGAUGUGACACCCCAAUAAUCCCACAUCGGAUGGGAAUGGGGUUGUCAUUGGGUUUAUAAGAAACUUAGACAUUAGUAAUAAUAACUGGGCUUAAGCAUUUUGGGCCGGUUGUUGGGCCCAACGAGUUAUUAUUGCUAGUGGGCUGGGUCGUUAUAUAAGACCUAGUCGAUAUUAAACUCUAUAUAUUAAAGUCUAAUUGGCUCUAAGUAUAUGUCUCAGAGUCCGAUUAUAUUCACCUUGGUUGUAUAUUCCAAGGUGGAGAUGUGACCCGACCUCACGUAUAUGUAUUGAGGUGGGUCGAAUUACCCGAAAGUAGAGGGUGGUUAAUUCCUAAGUAUAUGUAUCAGGAUUAACCGAGUUUAAUAUAUUUUUCACUCUAGUUAUAUGUGCUAGAGUGAGGAUCUGACUAAGCCCUAAGGUAUUAUGUUAGGCUUCGUCGGAUUUGAGCUCUACGUAUAUGUAUUAGAGCUCGAUCGGGUAUGGAUUUCACUCUAGGUAGAUGUGCUAGAGCAAAAGACUGACUAGACCCUACGUAUAUGGGUUAGGGCUAGUCGAGCUUGGUUUGACUUCUGCUUUAGGUAUAUGUACUAGAGCAAAAGAUUGACCAGACCUUAAUGAUAUGUGUUAGGGUUAGUCGGAUGAACUCUAAGUAUAUGUGUUAGAGUUCGAAUGAACUUGAUAUCAUUUGACUGAAUUCUAAGUGUAUAAUUUAGAACUCUGUCGAUUUGGAGAUGAUUUUGCCUUACUUAUAUGUGCUAAGGCGAUUGACUUAGCCCUAAGUAUAUGCAUUAGGGGUAGUCGAUAUUUAAAUUUCACUCUAGGUAUAUGAGCUAGAGUAAAGAAAAGGUUCAUGAUGAACUUUGGGCAUGAGAUUUGGGUAUUGGUUCAUGAGAUUUGGAUAUAUAGGAUUUGGUAUAUGGGAUUUGGUGUAUGAUUCAUGAGAUUUGGUUCAUGAACUUUGUUUAUGAUUCAUGAACUUGGUGUAUGGGUUUUGAUUUAUUUGGUUCAUGUAUGGAAUUGGUGUAUGGUUCAUGGGGUAUGGUUCAUGAGACUCGGUUCAUGAACUUGGAUAUGGUUUAUGGUUCAUAGUGUAUGGUUCAUGGGCUUAAGUAUGGUUUAUGAGAUUUGGUUAUGAUAUUUGGUUCAUGAACUUGGAUAUGGUUCAUGGAUUUGGUUUAUGGUUUAUGGUUCAUGGUGUAUGGUUCAUAGGUUUAGGUAUGGUUUAUGAGAUUUGGUU